AGUGUCCUGUGGAUCUGGAAUUGUGGUUCCGGCAGCACCUCAACCAGUAGCUCCUUUGGUUUCAACAAUCAACAGCGGUUGCUAAUUGAGGAUCUUGUCUGGUCCAACAGAUCACUUUGUUUUCCAACAGCUCAAUUGAGUGAGAUUCUGUUGCUGUGAUGCUGGAGUUGUGAUCUUUGAGGUGUAUCCAGCAGCUUUCCCUAACCGGCAGCAACACCUUUGAUUGUGAUCUAUUGGUGAUCACCUUGGAUUUGAGGAUUCUGAUUCGAGACAGGCGUCUCGACGUUGACUUCGGAUUUGGGAUUGUACCUU